GAAGCGGCAACAGCUCAAAUUUGAAAUCUGGCGCAAGCCCGAGUUGUAAUUUGUAGAGGAUGCUUCAGGGCAGCGGCCGGUCUAAGUUCCUUGGAACAGGACGUCAUAGAGGGUGAGAAUCCCGUAUGCGACCGGUUGGCACCCGUCACGUAGCUCCUUCGACGAGUCGAGUUGUUUGGGAAUGCAGCUCUAAAUGGGAGGUAAAUUUCUUCUAAAGCUAAAUACCGGCCAGAGACCGAUAGCGCACAAGUAGAGUGAUCGAAAGAUGAAAAGCACUUUGGAAAGAGAGUUAAAAAGCACGUGAAAUUGUUGAAAGGGAAGCGCAUGCAACCAGACUUGUCGGCGGUGUUCCGCCGGUCUUCUGACCGGUCCAUUCGCCGCCGGCAGGCCAGCAUCAUCUGGGCGCGCCGGAUAAAGGCGCAGGGAAUGUAGCUCCUCGGAGUGUUAUAGCCCUGCGCACAAUACGGCGCCGCCCGGGUGAGGUCCGCGCUUCGGCUAGGAUGCUGGCGUAAUGGUUGUCUGCGGCCCGUCUUGAAACACGGACCAAGGAGUCUAACAUCUAUGCGAGUGUUCGGGUGUCAAACCCCUACGCGUAAUGAAAGUGAACGGAGGUGGGAAGCGCAAGCUGCACCAUCGACCGAUCCUGAUGUCUUCGGAUGGAUUUGAGUAAGAGCAUAGCUGUUGGGACCCGAAAGAUGGUGAACUAUGCCUGAAUAGGGUGAAGCCAGAGGAAACUCUGGUGGA
rnacentral:rRNA from 1 species